GCGGGGGCAGCGCGGCGGCCGUCGCGGCGGGGCUCGGGCCCCUGUCGGUCGGCACCGACGGCGGCGGUUCCAUCCGGAUACCCGCG
rnacentral:tRNA from 1 species